CCUACGGGAGGCAGCAGUGAGGAAUAUUGGUCAAUGGGCGUAAGCCUGACCCAGCCAAGUCGCGUGAGGGAUGCAUUUUCUCUUCUUCUUCACCCUCUUUUAUAAGGGAAUCAAGUGCGGGACGUGUCCCGUUUUGUAUGUACCUUAUGAAUAAGGAUCGGCUCACUCCGUGCCAGCAGCCGCGGUAAUACGGAGGAUCCGCGCGUUAUCCGGAUUUAUUGGGUUUAAAGGGUGCGUAGGCGGCCUUUUAAGUCAGCGGUGCAAGUCUGUGGCUCAACCAUAGAAUUGCCGUUGAAACUGGGAGGCUUGAGUAUGUUUGAGGCAGGCGGAAUGCGUGGUGUAGCGGUGAAAUGCUUAGAUAUCACGCAGAACCCCGAUUGCGAAGGCAGCCUGCCAAGCCAUGACUGACGCUGAUGCACGAAAGCGUGGGGAUCAAACAGGAUUAGAUACCCCGGUAGUC
rnacentral:rRNA from 1 species